AAGCCAUGUUUUGUAAUACAUACGCCUUCUUUAUAUACUUAGUUCCUACAAAUUGUAAAUCUACAUAAAUCUGUCAUGUUUUAACAUAUGUCAAGUUAUUUUUUCAUUUGUGUUUUAAGAAAUGGAACUUGUUAAAGGCGCUCUGAGAAGGCUGUCGACGGGACUUCCAACAUACCAAAAACUAAGACCAACUGCACAGAAAUUUUGUAAUUUUAAUACCACUAAAAAUUCCAGUAAUUUUUUUCCCAAAUCAAAACCUAGUUUAAUAUGUGGACAGACAUUUCCUCACUACGAUUUUAAUAAAACCAUUAAUAAUGAUUUUAGUCAAAACUAUUAUAAACAGUUUCACACAAAGAAAUUUGCAAAAGAUCGAGCUUCCCUUUUAAAAGCAUUUGUUAUAGGAGGCGCUUUUGUAGGAUCGGUGACCUAUUUUCUUGGUAAAGCCACUAACAAAGUAGUACUUGGUGAAUAUGAUGAAGAUUUACCUUGCUACACAGCUGAGGACGUAGCAAAACAUAAAACGAGGAAAGCUGGAGUGUGGGUAUCAUACAACCGAGGAGUAUACGAUAUCACUGAUUAUCUUAAUAAAAAUCCUGAACAUACCCUGCAAAUCUCAGCAGGUGGACCAGUGCAUAGAUUCUCAACAGCCAAAGAAAACUAUGAUGCAGAUUCCCUUGAAUUUUUAGAAAAAUAUCGUAUAGGAAAUUUAAAAUUGUCACCUCCUACCCCCAAAAAAGUUUGCUACGCCCCACCAGCGGGCCUCCCUUUCGAUAAUGAACCUACAAGAGAUCCAAGACUAAUUCCGGUCACUGAGAGGCCAUUUAAUGGAGGACCUAAGUCAUCUUUACUUGUAGAAGAUUUUUAUACGCCAAAUGAUAUAUUUUAUAUAAGAAACCAUCUACCAGUACCUAAAGUAAGUGCGGCAGAUUUCAAACUAAAAAUCGACGUUGAAGGUGGAAGUUCAAAGACUUUUAGUUUAGACGAAAUAAAGCAACUACCACAUCGAACCGUUACAAUUACAGCUCAAUGUGGAGGACUGCGAAGACAUGAAAUGACGGAGAAGCUGAAAAAAGAUACUCAAGGUGUAAAGUGGGAAAUAAACGGUGUAAGUAACGCAACGUGGACUGGUGUAGCUAUGAUAGAUGUAUUAAAAGCAGCUGGUUAUAACGAGGAGACACAUUGCGAUCUGGAGCAUCUUCAGUUUACUAGUUAUCAUUCAGCAGGAGGCCCAUACGUAACCGGAGUUCCUAUUCAACGAGUUUUAAAUCCAAAGAAUAACAUCAUGCUAUGUUGGGAAAUGAACGGCCAAGAGCUGACACCAGAUCAUGGGUAUCCGUUAAGAGUUAUAGUUCCUGGAGUUAUUGGCGCAAGAUGGGUGAAACAAAUAGGUACCUAUGUAUCAAUUCAGGAGACGAAAAAAUGGCGGAGCGGUUCCGCAACUGUUGGGAAUUCGUUCUCUGACUGUGGCGCUACUUGCGGAACGUGUUACGGAACGGUCACCAUGAUUUUAAUUCCGCUACCUCCGUCCAACGUAUACCUACUUUUGUGAAUUUGUCAACAGUGUUGUUGAAAGAUGGCGUGAAGUAGGUACUAAUUAUCAAUUGGAAAAUACAGCAGACAGUAAACAGUCCAUGGUCUUUGACCAUGAUUAUGAAGUAAAAAACAAUUUAUUGUGCAAAGAGAAAAUUGAAGUUCGGAAAGAAGAAUGCCAGGCACAUUGGCAUCAACAGCUCUACAAAUAUUUUGGUCCUUAUGUAACCCUGGAAAAUGUGGAUUAUUCAUCGUUAUCACCUGUACAAGAACUACCAGUCAUGUCAGCUAUAUUAAGC
rnacentral:misc_RNA from 1 species